GAUGAACGCUGGCGGCGUGCCUAAUACAUGCAAGUCGAGCGAACGGACGAGAAGCUUGCUUCUCUGAUGUUAGCGGCGGACGGGUUAGUAACACGUGGAUAACCUACCUAUAAGACUGGGAUAACUUCGGGAAACCGGAGCUAAUACCGGAUAAUAUUUUGAACCGCAUGGUUCAAAAGUUAAAUACGGUCUUGCUGUCACUUAUAGAUGGAUCCGCGCUGCAUUAGCUAGUUGGUAAGGUAACGGCUUACCAAGGCAACGAUGCAUAGCCGACCUGAGAGGGUGAACGGCCACACUGGAACUGAGACACGGUACAGACUCCUACGGGAGGCAGCAGUAGGGAAUCUUCCGAAAUGGGCGAAAGCCUGACGGAGCAACGCCGCGUGAGUGAUGAAGGUCUUCGGAUCGUAAAACUCUGUUAUUAGGGAAGAACAUAUGUGUAAGUAACUGUGCACAUCUUGACGGUACCUAAUCAGAAAGCCACGGCUAACUACGUG
rnacentral:rRNA from 1 species